rnacentral:lncRNA from 1 species
ACCUUUUUACAUCAUCAUUUGCAGAAGAGCUGGUCACUUGAAUUUAUACGGAUCAGAUAACCGCACUGUCAUGAUAUAGAACAAUGAAGGAAAGAACACCAAUAAAAAUAACGGUCCGUCCAUUUUAGGCUCGGACCAUUCCGUCAAUGCAAUGAGAGAAAAAGCAUGGAGAAACCAAUGACCAAUAAGGAUUGCAAUGAUAUCUUUCUUUGCCAGUAAAUCUUUGAAAUU